rnacentral:rRNA from 1 species
UACGUAGGGAGCAAGCGUUGUCCGGAAUUAUUGGGCGUAAAGGGUGCGUAGGCGGUUUAUCAAGUCAGAUGUGAAAUCCCCGGGCUUAACUCGGGACGUGCAUUUGAAACUGGUAGACUUGAGUAAAGAAGAGGUAAGUGGAAUUCCUAGUGUAGCGGUGGAAUGCGUAGAUAUUAGGAGGAACACCAGUGGCGAAGGCGACUUACUGGUCUUUUACUGACGCUGAGGCACGAAAGCGUGGGGAGCAAACAGGAUUAGAUACCCUGGUAGUCCACGCUGUAAACGAUGGAUACUAGGUGUGGGGGACAUACAACCUCUGUGCCGGAGCUAACGCAUUAAGUAUCCCGCCUGGGGAGUACGGUCGCAAGGCUG